CCUACGGGAGGCAGCAGUGAGCAAUAUUGGUCAAUGGGCGCGAGCCUGAACCAGCCAAGUAGCGUGAAGGAUGACUGCUCUACGGGUUGUAAACUUCUUUUAUAAAGGCAUAAAGUGAGGCACGUGUGCCUUGUUGUAUGUACUUUAUGAAUAAGGAUCGGCUAACUCCGUGCCAGCAGCCGCGGUAAUACGGAGGAUCCGAGCGUUAUCCGGAUUUAUUGGGUUUAAAGGGAGCGUAGAUGGGUUGUUAAGUUAGUUGUGAAAGUUUGCGGCUCAACCGUAAAAUUGCAAUUGAUACGGGCAGCUGUGAGGACAGUUGAGGAAGGCGGAAGUCGUGGUGUAGCGGGGAAAUGCUUAGGGAUCACGAAGAACUCCGAUUGGGAAGGCAGCUUACUAAGCUGCCACUGAGAUUGAUGCUGGAAAGUGUGGGUAUCAAACAGGAUUAGAUACCCGUGUAGUC
rnacentral:rRNA from 1 species